rnacentral:rRNA from 1 species
GCCGCCAGUGUGCUGGAUUCGCCCUUAGCGGAGCGUGUGGUUUAAUUCGAUGCGACGCGAAGAACCUUACCUGGGCUUGACAUGGGACUGCACCGGGGGUUAUGCCCCGUCCCCGCAAGGGGCGGUUCCACAGGUGCUGCAUGGCUGUCGUCAGCUCGUGCCGUGAGGUGUUGGGUUAAGUCCCCUAACGAGCGCAACCCCUGGGGUCCGUUGUAGGUUUCGGGCCCGACUGCCGCGCGCAACGCGGAGGAAGGUGGGGAUGACGUCAAGUCAGCACGGCCCUUACGUCCAGGGCGACACACACGCUACAAUGGCCGGUACAAUGGGACGCCAAGCCGCGAGGCGGAGCCAAUCCCCCAAAGCCGGUACUCAGUUCGGAUCGCAGGCUGCAACUCGCCUGCGUGAAGCUGGAGUUGC